rnacentral:sRNA from 1 species
UGACUACGGAGUACAACAACCAUGCCUUCCUACGGGUUUAUUUGCCGAUGCAACGAAAUGACCGUCUCACCGCCCUGGUUUAGCGCGUUUGGUACGCAGCAGCGCGGGGAGCUCGAAUUCAGUGAGCAGGACUGCAGACGAGGCUAGCAUCUUUUAGUUAACCCUUGGCCUGUUCCGCGGCAUGAGCGAAUAGAAGCAUCGAGGUCUGAGAAAUUCGUCCUGGAUCUGCGGGCUCUGGUUUCUUUAAAUAGCGCGGCAAGGCAUGCAAGUGGAGAGUGGGAGGAGAUGAAUUCCUAGAUUCGUCUACCUUCUAUGUGAUGCGCAGUACUGCACAUGCACUGUACAACUAGAUGAUGACUCCUAUGGGCUGCCCGUGUCUCUAACGAGUUACGAUGUGUAUGCCAGCCGAUUCUGUACCGAACAGUGAUUAAUCGCCUUUUAGGCACACCUGGCAGAUCAACGUGGCAAUAAAAUCUAGACAAACAAACAGUUGGGGGUAAGUUAUUUAUUAUGAAUUCCAUUGUCGUCAGCCGGCACAUGCAUACAGCACAGAAUAACUAUUCAUGAAAAACGGCGUGAGCCAACCUUGUUUGAGCCAACCGGCAAUAAUGCCCAAUUGAAAAAAAAAAAAAAAAAAAAAAAAGGAGCCAGUGUCAGCCGGCUGAGCAGGUAAAUGAAAUGGAAAUUACAAAGGAAAAGAAAAAAGAAAAGGGAAAGGAAAAGGAAAAGGAUUAGAGAGAAAAUAUGGAUUAAAAAUAGUGGUGUGUAGGAAAAGAUUUGUUUUAUGUCAAAACCACCGGUACUAUUUUCGUUUACCUGUCGUCGUCCAUAACUUGACAAAUUGCUGCUUAUCCUUGGCACCCAGUCCAACCCGUCUCACUCGCCCCAGUCGAGCCAGCGACUCACCAACUUGGUUUAGCAGCGUCUGUUCCAUGCUCGUUAACGACGCAUCGAGAUCCAUGCGUGACUCGGCCAGCCUCGCGUCUAAUGCGUUAAAGUAAUUAUGGUCAUACGAAGGCUGGCCGUCUGUGGGUCCAAGGCGGGAUCCGUUAUGAAUAUUAUUAUUUUUCGUACUUUUGGUUUGGGUCGGGAGCAGGACGCUCUCCGCAAUCCUCACGCGGAUGCAGUGGGUAGGUUUGCUCAGGAGAUUCCACAUGAAAGACCUGUACGAUUGUGGUAUCGGAGUCGUGAUGUCCGCGGGGGUGUACCUCAGGCUGACAGGGAAAAUUCUUGUUGCUGCAGAGACCGCGACGAGAGACGGACUCAUCUGCAGGAUGCCUUUACCGUUCGUCGUCGUGCAUUCAGGAAAUACUACAAUGGGGCUGUUAGGGUGCCGUUUUAUCAGCGUUGCUAUAUCCACAAGGCGCGAGCCUGCGGGUGGCUUCACUUCGGGGCGGGCGAAUGCCCGAAGAAUAGCCUGAACAAGGGAUAUCUGCUGGACUUUGCACGUUGAAGGAUACGACACUGUGAAUAUGGGAUCGAAUAUGGCGGCAAGGUAGAGAGCGUCGAUUGGGGAAGUAAAUGACGAAGCGAUUACGGACGCGGGCCCUGGGAGUGGGGAGGAGUGCUGCGAGGCUAGCGAUCUGUCAAACACAUGGUUAGAGCUCCAGUAGCGGACAUACCCGGUGGAGCCCGGGGGUGUAGCAACACAAUCGCAUACCCUUUUUUGACGCCAUCUAUUUGAAGAUCAAUCCACCAUAUACCUGGAAUUCCCAGCAUUACCCACAAGGAGGCUUUCUUACCCAGGGAUCCUAUGGGAAGCCAUUGGAGCACGCAAAAGUAGGCGGCAAAUGCGGUGAUCAGCAGCGGCAGCCGCAUGCAGAAGAGAAAUAUGUGGAAUGGGAGAUAUAUGCCGGAGUGUUGGGAAGAGAUAGGUAGGAAAGGAGCGAUUCCCGAACCUAGAAAACGUUCGUCAGCCACGAUGAUGGUUUAAGCUGUGUGGUGUGCACGAAGGGCAGUUCUGUGGCAAAGGGCAUACCUCUAUCUCUGAACUGAGAAAAUUUCUCCAUGACGAGAGUGACGCAAAUGAUACACCCCCAGUUCUCGUGUCGUCGUGGGGGAGGUAAAAAGUCGUGGUGCUUCGGAGUGGUGGGAAAUCACAUGCACCUGAAGCGGAAUGAAGCCUCUCAACAACAAAACUUGUGUUUGUGUUGGAGGAAUGCAGGAUGAAGAAAGGACGGCAGGGUCAAGGGCAAGGAAACAAGCUAAAACACAUUUUUAAAUGCGUGGCUUCCGGCGACUCUUCAGCUUGUGCCGUCUCGCCUGUUCUCGCUUUUGUUCUCGUUGGGUUCUUCGUCGUGAAUCCCAGUAGUAGUUAGUUAGUUACGGAGUAGCAACGGCGAGAGAUAAAAGCUCCGUGAGGAGCAUUAGUCAGC